rnacentral:misc_RNA from 1 species
UACGGAGACCUCGAGCGUUACUCGGAUUUACUGGGCGUAAAGGGUUCGUAGGUGGCCAAGUGUGUCGGGUGUGAAAUCUUGCGGCUUAACCGUAAAACUGCGCCCGAAACUACUUGGCUAGAGAUUCGGAGGGGUAAGCGGAAUUCCAGGUGUAGCGGUGAAAUGCGUAGAUAUCUGGAGGAACACCAACGGCGAAGGCAGCUUACUGGACGACAUCUGACACUGAGGAACGAAAGUAUGGGUAGCGAAAGGG